ACCUUCACGAGUGCAGUCUUAGUGCUAUGAUGGGGUCUAAAACCAGACUGAAGCAUUUUGUAUACAUUAUUUGGCUUCAGGGAGGCAGUGAGUUUCUGCGCCACAGCUUUUUCUAACAUUUUUGUGAGGAAUGGGAGAUUCGAUAUAGGCCGAUAGUUUUUAUUUUAGCAACAAGAUUAUGUACUAUAUGUACAAAUUAAAAUAUACUAAUAGCACAAACUCCAUCAAUGCCACGCCCCUUCUGAAUCCCUCGAUGUUCUUGGAGUUUGUGCUAUUAGUACAAAUAAACAUAGCUAGCUAUUUUACAGUGAACGAGAGGACCAUGCCUCAGGACUACCUGGCAUGAUGACUCCUUGCUGUCUCCAGUCCACCUGGCCGUGCUGCUGCUCCAGUUUCAACUGUUCUGCCUGCGGCUAUGGAACCCUGACCUGUUCACCUGACAUGCUACCUGUCCCAGACCUGCUGUUUUAGACUCUCUAGGGAUAGCAGGAGCGGUAGAGAUCCUCUCAAUGAUCGGCUAUGAAAAGUCAACUGACAUUUACUCCUGAGGUGCUGACCUGUUGCACCCUCGACAACCACUGUGAUUAUUCUUAUUUGACCAUGCUGGUCAUUUAUGAACAUUUGAAUAUCUUGGCCAUGUUCUGUUAUAAUCUCCACCCGGCCACCCCUCAUAGCCUGGUUCCUCUCUAGGUUUCCUCCUAGGUUUUGGCCUUUCUAGGGAGUUUUUCCUAGCCACCGUGCUUCUACACCUGCAUUGUUUGGGGUUUUAGGCUGAGUUGCUGUACUGCACUGAGAUAUCAGCUGAUGUAAGAAGGGCUAUAUAAAUUAGAUUUUUGGUAAAACGAACAUCCUAAGUCUUUCUGUUGAGCACUUUGGCAUUCCAAGACAAUUGCUAAAAGUACUUCUACAGUCAUUAGAUGUACUGUACAGAUUUCCAGUUUCUGUCUGUUUCUCUGCUCUGUCAUGACCUCCAGAGUCAGGCCAAUAACUAACUCCAAUAACUGAAUCAGCAUUCUUUAUCAGUUUAUUGAUCUUGUUCCUUGGGUAGACAAUUUAAUAUUCAAAAUAACCCUCUGCUUCCUAACCUCAUUCUGGAAUGAUGAUUCACAUAAUAUGACAUGAUGGUAUGUGUAUGAUAUUAAACAAUUAGCCUUUUGUGUUCAUAUUGACAGAUUA